CUACUAUGUGCUAGACAAAGUUCUGAGUGAUGCUAAUACAGUAGUGAACUAGGCAGAAGACAAAAAUCCCCAUUCUCAUAGAGUUUACAUUCUAGUGCGGCGACAUAGACAAUGAAAAUCAAAGAAAUAGUUUUGUUGAUGGUGAGAAGUGUUAAGAAAAAUAAAACAGGGAAGGUAGAUAGGGAGUACUACAGGAGAUUACAAGUUUAGAAAGAAUGCCCAGGGAAAGCCUCAGUAUAAAAGUGACAUUUGAGCCCUGGCCAGUUUGGCUCAGCGGUUAGAGC